rnacentral:lncRNA from 1 species
CUUUCAGGAAAAUGGAAGCGGAUCUAAAGUAUUACCUAUGAUCCUUUGAUGUGCUUUUUAUGAAAGAAUCUCCAUUCUCACGUGGAUCAGUCAUGACACGGGAAGAUGGAGUUCAGCUUUCCCUCUCAUGGACCGGGCUGUUGCCGGAGCAGUGUUGCGAUUCUGCGAAAUAGCUCUCCAGCGCUGUGAAGCCGUGUCCUGUUUGUCAGCAGUGCUCACGUCGGAGGCUGUCUCCAUCACAAAGCUCCCUGGCAAGAACUCUGCUCCCUUAGCAGCUCGUGCUAGGUGUGUGCUAGACCAAAAUGCUGAUAUUUUAAAAUGUUUUGAAAAAUUAAUUGACUGACAUGCUAGGGUGUUUUCUGUAUUACUCUUUGUAUAUUUUCACUCAGAUUUGCUACCUGGAUGCUGAUAAAAAUGGCAAUGUUCUGCUUCCAUUUCCUUAGCUGAAGAAAUGUCAAAUUUUGCAAAUGCAAUGGUUGAUAUAUAAAACUG